rnacentral:piRNA from 1 species
UAAAAUGAACCUUUACCAUUUAAUGCCA